CCACCUGUUAGGCCUGUACUGACGGUCAUGCACGACAGUGAGGGGAGCAAGCAUGGUUAGAUAUCCUGGUAGUACACGCCCUAAGCGAUGUCCGUCUGGCUAUGGGGUCUAUAUGUUCUCAGUAACGAAUCUAUCGCGAGAAGAAGGUCAUCUGGGGAGUACGUGCGCAAGGUUGAAACUCAAAGGAAUUGCCGGGGAACCGCACAAGCGGUGGACGAUCUGGUGUACUUCGAUGCAACGCGAAAAACCUUACACGCCUUUGACAUGUACGGAAGUCUCUAGAGAUAGAUUCGUACUCGAAAGAGAGUUGUAACACAGGUCAAGCAUGGCCGUCGUCAUCUCGAGUCGUGAGAUGGAGGGUUCAGUUUCACUACGAGCGCGAGCCUUGCCAUUAGUUGUUGCAUUCAGCUGGGCACUCUAAUGAGUCUACCGGUGACAACGCGGAGGAAGGUGGGGAUGACGUCAAGUCCUCAUGAUCCUUAUGGGUGGGGCUUCACGCGUCAUACAAUGGCUGCUACAGAGGGUACACAAAGCGCGAGGGGGACAUCAUGACAUAAAUCCACUCGUAGUCCGGAUCGCAGUCUGCAACUCGACUGCGUGAAGUCGGAAUCGCUAGUAAUCUAGGAUCAGAAUGUCAGCGGUGAAUACGUUGACCGGGUCUUGUGCACCUCGUCCCGUCACGCCAUGCGAGCCGGUCUAGCCAGAAGUAGGUAGCGUAGGCCGCAAGGAGGACGCUUACCAGCGGUCGGGGUUCGUGAUCUGGGGGAAGUCGAACAAGAGCUGGGGGC
rnacentral:rRNA from 1 species